GCUACUGUGCCAGCUGGUGGAUCGCUCGGCUUGAGAGCUGAAGAAGGACGUGCCAAGCUGCGAUAAGCCUGAGGGAGCCGCACGGAGGCAAAGAACUCAGGAUCUCCGAAUGGGAAUCCCCACCGCAAUUGCUUCGCGCAAUGGGGAACGUCGAGAAUUGAAACAUCUUAGUAUCGGCAGGAAAAGAAAGCAAACGCGAUGUCGUUAGUAAGGGCGACUGAACGCGAUACAGUCCAAACCGAAGCCUUCGGGCAAUGUGGUGUNCGGCAGGAAAAGAAAGCAAACGCGAUGUCGUUAGUAAGGGCGACUGAACGCGAUACAGUCCAAACCGAAGCCUUCGGGCAAUGUGGUGUUCGGACUGACUUUCACUUCCCGAAACGCGACACGAAGUCUCUUGGAACAGAGCACGAAACAGGGUGACAGUCCCGUAAUGUCGUCGAGUACGGAACGCGUCAGUUCCAGAGUAUCGGGGGUUGGAUAUCCCUCGUGAAGAUCGCGGGCAUCGACCGCGAAGACUAAACACUCCUCAAGACCGAUAGCGAACAAGUAGCGUGAGCGAACGCUGAAAAGCACCCCACGAAGGGAGGUGCAAUAGGGCGUGAAAUCAGUUGGCGAUGGAGCGACAGAGCACACAAGGUCCCGGACAAAACGAUCGCAGCGCGAGCUGCUAGUAGGAAGUUUGGGAAGCCGGUGUUCUGUCGUACGUUUUGAAAAACGAACCAGGGAGUGUGCCUGUUUGACGAGUCUAACUCGAUUAUCGAGGAAGGCGAAGGGAAACCGACAUGGCCGCAGUGCUUUGCAUGAGGGCCGCCGUGUUCAAGCGCGGGGAGUCAAACGGGCACGACCCGAAACCGGACGAUCUAGGCGUGGACAAGGUGAAGCGUGCCGAAAGGCACGUG
rnacentral:ncRNA from 1 species